rnacentral:rRNA from 1 species
AUUGAACGCUGGCGGCAGGCCUAACACAUGCAAGUCGAACGAGUGGCGGACGGGUGAGUGAUGUCUGGGAAACUGCCUGAUGGAGGGGGAUAACUACUGGAAACGGUAGCUAAUACCGCAUACCAUCAGAUGUGCCCAGACGGGAUUAGCUAGUUGGUGGGGUAACGGCUCACCAAGGCGACGAUGCCUAGCUGGUCUGAGAGGAUGACCAGCCACACUGGAACUGAGACACGGCCCAGACUCCUACGGGAGGCAGCAGUGGGGAAUAUUGGACAAUGGGCGAAAGCCUGAUGCAGCCAUGCCGCGUGAGUGAAGAAGGCCUUCGGGUUGUAAAGUACUUUCGGCGGGGAGGCGUUACCCGCAGAAGAAGCACCGGCUAACUCCGUGCCAGCAGCCGCGGUAAUUC